GCAGGAGUGGCGGAAUCGGCAGACGCGCACGUUUAAGGGGCGUGUACCGUGAGGUGUACGGGUUCAAGUCCCGUUUCCUGCACCA
rnacentral:tRNA from 1 species